rnacentral:tRNA from 1 species
AGGAGGUGUAGCACAGCAAAAUGCAAAUUUGAAGGAACACGUUAAAGGUGUCGGGGCU